rnacentral:rRNA from 1 species
CCUACGGGGGGCAGCAGUGAGGAAUAUUGGUCAAUGGACGAGAGUCUGAACCAGCCAAGUAGCGUGAAGGAUGACUGCCCUAUGGGUUGUAAACUUCUUUUAUAUGGGAGUAAAAUGUUCCACGUGUGGGAUUUUGUAUGUACCAUAUGAAUAAGGAUCGGUUAACUCCGGGCCAGCAGCCGCGGUAAUACGGAGGAUCCGAGCGUUAUCCGGAUUUAUUGGGUUUAAAGGGAGCGUAGGUGGAUUGUUAAGUCAGUUGUGAAAGUUUGCGGCUCAACCGUAAAAUUGCAGUUGAAACUGGCAGUCUUGAGUACAGUAGAGGUGAGCGGAAUUCGUGGUGUAGCGGUGAAAUGCUUAGAUAUCACGAAGAACUCCGAUUGCGAAGGCAGUUCACUGGACUGCAACUGACACUGAGGCUCGAAAGUGUGGGUAUCAAACAGGAUUAGAUACCCGAGUAGUC